CCCAAUCCCAACUGCCAUUGUAACCUGAGGACAACCUGCAGUUUAAGAAGCGCCUUCUGCAAAAUUACAAUAUUACGCUUUGUUUUCCUCGCCCUUUUAAUUGAGUUUUUGUUAAUUAAUAGUGUGAAUAACACUUCCAAAACUUCAUACCCCUAAGAAGUAUCUUUUGCAGGCUCUUUUUAAAAAGAAAGUAAUUUCACAAGGUCAGUAGUCCUGGGCAGCAUUUUACUUACCACGGCGAAUUUCUUGUUCAUGGCCAUUUGGUCUGCCAACACGGAUUGAUUGUGAAAAAGGUGAGGCUGCAUGUGACUCCACAUGUGGGGGAACCACCAAAACUCCUUCACAUAAGAGAGCAGAAGGUCAUCUCCCUCGUCCUCCGCAUCUGUACCUGCCAGGACCAAAGCAUCAUCAUCAUCAUCAUCACUAUCACCAUCAUCAUCAUCACUAAGCAAUGUUUAAGCCACAAAUGAAGGCAGAGCUUCACAAAAUCAUACCACGCAAUCUGACAGCUUCUACACUGAACAGCAUUAAAUGGAGUACACUGCAUGGAUUAAGUUAACCCAAAAACCUUAGAUCUCCCCAAGUAGAAAGGAAUAGAAACUCUUCUUUAUUAACCAGACAUACAACACUAUCAUUUCCAUGUCCAGAACUCAAUGCAGAGGUGAGAUCCUGUGGCCUUUCAGAUGGUUUACAAAGUACAAAUCUCAGCAGCCUUAGACAUCAUAGAAGAUAAUAAAGGAUGCCUGUUGUUAUAGAUUACAUUUGGAGGACUUCAGGUUCUUACAGUUGCCCUAAUGCUUUAAGACACUUGCAUAUUCAAAUUAUAUUAGGUAAAUUUUCACCAGUCACCGAGAUUAAAAGGUUUGAGAAGCUACAAAGAAAACU